rnacentral:rRNA from 1 species
UUUAUUGGAGAGUUUGAUCCUGGCUCAGGAUGAACGCUGGCGGCGUGCCUAAUACAUGCAAGUCGAGCGAAUGGAUUGAGAGCUUGCUCUCAAGAAGUUAGCGGCGGACGGGUGAGUAACACGUGGGUAACCUGCCCAUAAGACUGGGAUA